rnacentral:lncRNA from 1 species
UCUAAUUCCAGUCCCUCCCCAGGCAGCCAGUGGAACAUCAGGGGUGACCUCCAGUCUGCCUGCUCUCCACAGCCAUAAUGAAGACUUUGGCGUUUGGGGAGCUUUUGGCUCAGCAAGCCGAGAGGUGGAAGAAAUUCAUGCAAAGCCCCAUUGAACAAUGAAAUCACGCUAAGUAUCUCACCACUGACUCACAGGGAGGCCAAUUGCCAAGCUUCAGGAGCGUUGCCAUCGUUCUGCUUUGCAAAGACAUUUCCAGAGUUCAAACAUCACCUCACGGGUUGGACAUUUGGCCGCAAAGGGACAUUAUUAUUCACAGGAAAAUGUGAUGCCAUAUAAUCUGAAGCUGUCCAAUGAUGCAGACAACUCGCCAUGGCUCUACUCCAGCCAGGCCCCCAGCAUGAGGAUGACCCAUCAGUCUGCCAUGUGGUAUAUGAGCCAAUCAGCAGAGAUGAUAAAUGAAAAGUCGAGGCUCAGAGUUACUGGCCCUGUCAGAGGAGAUUUGGGAUGCGAGGGAUGAUGGGGUUGCAGCACCGGAGCAUGGUGUGGUCUCACAGCAGGUUCUUUCAACACCAUAAUGCAACUCUUUGAGCUCAUGGGAGGAAAAAAAUAAGAAUUAAGAAGCAUCCUCAGCGUUAGAGUAUGAGAAAACCAAAUGAGAGUUGACAUUGCCAUGGGAACAGCUUCAUCUUAUGCAUUCAAAGACUAAAGUGCGUGGAAAGAAGCAGGAAAUCUGACGCAGAGGAUGUAUGAUGUUGAAAUGGAGCAGUGACCUUAUUUUCUACCUGAAAUGAAGAGACAGUCCAGCUGGGGCAC